AUGUUUAAAUCAUCCCAAAAUCUUCAAGAUAUUCUUCAAGCUUCAUGGAAGCCCCAUUUCUUCAAGACAUCAUCACCAUGUUCUCCCAAAUAUCCAAAAACAAAAUUGCCAAACAUCCUGCAUAUAAACAAAGGUUGCUGUCCACUUGCAUUCUUGCUGUCUAAACUGCUAACCAGCCUACAAACCUACCACAAAACAACAAAAUAA